rnacentral:misc_RNA from 1 species
GACCUUCUAAGAGUCAUCAGCCAUCACCGUGCUAGACUUGCCACGCCAAUUCGAACUGUUCAGAAGAUAUAUAGUGAUGCCGAUUUGGAAAAUAUUCCAUUUGCAGAUUCUACCUAUAACCGAGGUGGAAUGGCAUCCAACCGUCCUUUGCUAUUAAUUGAACCUUCUUACAGAAUCAAUGGAGAAGAGAAGACAAAAUCUCAAGCUCGUUCUGGACGAGGAAUUGGAGACCAAGAAAAUAGGGCUGCAUCAAGGUCUACAUCUGAGACCAAAACAGGAGGCAGCCCAAAGACAGACCCCAAGUCUACAUCUGACAUCAAAACAGGAGGUAGCCCAAAGUCAGACCCCAAGGCCAAAGAAACACCAAAAUCUGAAACUAAGGUGGAUGCCAGAAUCCGUGAGACACCAAAUUCCAAUGCCAAGGAGCGCACAGAAGCUGCAACGACAUCCACCUCUGAUCCCAAAGUAGGUGAUAAAAUGCCAGUGAAAUCAUCGCCUAAUUCUGUCCCCAAGACAUCAAACUUUGCAGAAGCAUCAAGUUCUGAAUUGAAAGCAGCAGGCUUUGUUUCCAAUAAUGUGCCGCAAAACAAAGAGAUCUACGACAGCAAGCAGCCUAAGAGUGUGAGUCCUGGGAAUACAGGACAGAAUAGCCGGUUUGAUAAUCCUUCGGUUUCCUUAACAGCAGCUGGUGCUGACAAAGCAAGUGGAUUGCAGCAGUCUUCCAAAUUGAAACAGGGUGCUGAGAGACAAUCAGUCACUCAGCCAUCAGUGUCAAGACCU